UCUGACGGCCACAGCGGGCUGGAAACACCUGUUCCCAUUCCGAACACAGAAGUUAAGCAGCCCAGCGAUCUUGUAAGUACUGCGCACUGCGUGGGAACACAAGGACGUUGUCAGGC
rnacentral:rRNA from 1 species